GAUGAACGCUGGCGGCGUGCCUAAUACAUGCAAGUCGAGCGAACGGACGAGAAGCUUGCUUCUCUGAUGUUAGCGGCGGACGGGUGAGUAACACGUGGAUAACCUACCUAUAAGACUGGGAUAACUUCGGGAAACCGGAGCUAAUACCGGAUGAUAUUUUGAACCGCAUGGUUCAAAAGUGAAAGACGGUCUUGCUGUCACUUAUAGAUGGAUCCGCGCUGCAUUAGCUAGUUGGUAAGGUAACGGCUUACCAAGGCAACGAUGCAUAGCCGACCUGAGAGGGUGAUCGGCCACACUGGAACUGAGACACGGUCCAGACUCCUACGGGAGGCAGCAGUAGGGAAUCUUCCGCAAUGGGCGAAAGCCUGACGGAGCAACGCUGCGUGAGUGAUAAAGGUCUUCGGAUCGUAAAACUCUGUUAUUAGGGAAGAACAUAUGUGUAAGUAACUGUGCACAUCUUGACGGUACCUAAUCAGAAAGCCACGGCUAACUACGUGCCAGCAGCCGCGGUAAUACGUAGGUGGCAAGCGUUAUCCGGAAUUAUUGGGCGUAAAGCGCGCGUAGGCGGUUUUUUAAGUCUGAUGUGAAAGCCCACGGCUCAACCGUGGAGGGUCAUUGGAAACUGGAAAACUUGAGUGCAGAAGAGGAAAGUGGAAUUCCAUGUGUAGCGGUGAAAUGCGCAGAGAUAUGGAGGAACACCAGUGGCGAAGGCGACUUUCUGGUCUGUAACUGACGCUGAUGUGCGAAAGCGUGGGGAUCAAACAGGAUUAGAUACCCUGGUAGUCCACGCCGUAAACGAUGAGUGCUAAGUGUUAGGGGGUUUCCGCCCCUUAGUGCUGCAGCUAACGCAUUAAGCACUCCGCCUGGGGAGUACGACCGCAAGGUUGAAACUCAAAGGAAUUGACGGGGACCCGCACAAGCGGUGGAGCAUGUGGUUUAAUUCGAAGCAACGCGAAGAACCUUACCAAAUCUUGACAUCCUUUGACAACUCUAGAGAUAGAGCCUUCCCCUUCGGGGGACAAAGUGACAGGUGGUGCAUGGUUGUCGUCAGCUCGUGUCGUGAGAUGUUGGGUUAAGUCCCGCAACGAGCGCAACCCUUAAGCUUAGUUGCCAUCAUUAAGUUGGGCACUCUAAGUUGACUGCCGGUGACAAACCGGAGGAAGGUGGGGAUGACGUCAAAUCAUCAUGCCCCUUAUGAUUUGGGCUACACACGUGCUACAAUGGACAAUACAAAGGGCAGCGAAACCGCGAGGUCAAGCAAAUCCCAUAAAGUUGUUCUCAGUUCGGAUUGUAGUCUGCAACUCGACUACAUGAAGCUGGAAUCGCUAGUAAUCGUAGAUCAGCAUGCUACGGUGAAUACGUUCCCGGGUCU
rnacentral:rRNA from 1 species